UGAGUUGUUGCCAGUGAUGGAUUUUUUUUACAGAUGAAACCAAAUGAUUAUAUUGAAACUUUUCGUCACUACCACUGAGGCAACACUGUU